rnacentral:rRNA from 1 species
GAGUUUGAUCCUGGCUCAGAACGAACGCUGGCGGCGUGCCUAACACAUGCAAGUCGAACGGAAUUGAGGUGCUUGCACUUCAAUUUAGUGGCGCACGGGUGAGUAACGCGUAGAUAAUCUGCCUGAUGAUCUGGGAUAACACUUCGAAAGAGGUGCUAAUACCGGAUAAGCCCACGGGGUCUUUGGACUCUGCGGGAAAAGGGGGGGACCUUCGGGCCCUCUGUCAUCAGAUGAGUCUGCGUACCAUUAGCUAGUUGGUGGGGUAAAGGCCUACCAAGGCUACGAUGGUAGCUGGUCUGAGAGGAUGAUCAGCCACACUGGAACUGAGACACGGUCCAGACUCCUACGGGAGGCAGCAGUGGGGAAUUUUGCGCAAUGGGCGAAAGCCUGAUCCAGCAAUGCCGCGUGCAGGACGAAGGCCUUCGGGUUGUGAACUGCUUUUGUACGGAACGAAACGGUCUCUUCUAAUACAAGGGGCUAAUGACGGUACCGUAAGAAUAAGCACCGGCUAACUACGUGCCAGCAGCCGCGGUAAUAC